rnacentral:rRNA from 1 species
CCUACGGGGGGCAGCAGUGAGGAAUAUUGGUCAAUGGCCGAGAGGCUGAACCAGCCAAGUCGCGUGAGGGAAGACGGCCCUACGGGUUGUAAACCUCUUUUGUCGGGGAGCAAAGAGAGUCACGUGUGACUCAUUGAGAGUACCCGGAGAAAAAGCAUCGGCUAACUCCGUGCCAGCAGCCGCGGUAAUACGGAGGAUGCGAGCGGUAUCCGGAUUUAUUGGGUUUAAAGGGUGCGCAGGCGGAGGUGCAAGUCAGCGGUCAAAUUGCGGGGCUCAACCCCGUACUGCCGUUGAAACUGCAUGCCUUGAGUGCGCGAGAAGUAUGCGGAAUGCGUGGUGUAGCGGUGAAAUGCAUAGAUAUCACGCAGAACUCCGAUUGCGAAGGCAGCAUACCGGCGCGCAACUGACGCUCAUGCACGAAAGCGUGGGUAUCGAACAGGAUUAGAUACCCCUGUAGUC